CAAAGAAACACCAAUAGAUUUAAAAAAAUGUUUAUAUAUUGUUUGUAAAAUAAAAGAAAAAUUACGCUUAUUUUUAAAAGAAUGCAUUUUUGGAAGGUGUGAUUGUGGCCUAAUGAACAAAUUUCUGGAAGAAAUUGGUACGAAUAACACUGCCCUGUUCACAUAAAUGUGGCUCCCCAGGUGCAUUGUUUGCUGACCUCACACAGUGUGCAUAAUAAUGCCAAUUGGUCAGGUAUUUCAUGAAGUCCCAUAUAUGUCUGCACUCUGCUGGAUACACAUGAGAGGUAUAAGAUUCCUUCCCUCUGGUGAGGUGCAAAGGCGUGAACAAGAUGGUUUUCCGGGUGUCAUGUGAGAAGCAUUGAUCUACGAUCUGUUCCCCUUCCUGCUUCCUCUUCUCCCUUUAGCCCAUGUUCUGGUGCUAUCCAGAAGGAAAAGACUUUCUGAAGGGGUUCCAGACUCUCAUAGACUUCGAUGGGAGGGCUACUCACAGGAGGGAAGCUUGGAGCUGAAGAAAUGUGGAUCAAAGCAAUCAGCUUAAAGCAUCUCAUUCUGCCUUUCAUAGGCCAGCUGUUCUGAAAGUUCUACGGCCUUCCACAGUCAUGCCUGCCUUUCCCGAAAUGGCAGUUGCAAGACAGUUAAAGGUCAAAAAAGAGAGAAAACGUCACAGUUCUCUUCAGCAGAACUUUUGUCAGUGUGAUCGAGAAGUGUCUCAAGUGACAAGUGAGCUGACCAGGGUAAGAAAUAGUUUCCUGUGUCUGUUCUUGGCCUUGUUACUUUCCGGGAAGGGACAGAUUCCAGAGGACCCCCUCAUUGUCCUUGCCCUCAGCCUCAAAAUGUGGAUUGGGAGUUAGAGUUUUUUUUCUAGGAACAGAAAACCUCAUUUCUUUUUCUUUUUCUUUUUUUUCACACGGAGUUUUGCUCUGUCACCCAGGCUGGAGUACAGUAUCACGAUCUCAGCUCACUGCAACCUCCACCUCCCAGGUUCAAGUGAUUCUCCUGCCUCAGCCUCCUGAGUCUCUGGGAUUACAGGCAACCACCACCUUGCUGGGCUGAUUUUUGUAUUUUUAGUAGAGACGGGGUUUUCCCAUGUUGGCCAGACUUGUCUCCAACUCCUGGCCCCAACCAAUCUUCUGGCCUUAGCCUCCCAAAGUGCUGGGAUUACAGGAGUGAGCCACUGCGCCUGGCCAGAAAAACUCAUUUCUUGUCCUGGCUUUGCUACUAACUCGCUUGUAACCUUUAGCUAAUCUUUUAAUUUUCUGGGCCUCGGUUUCUACGUUUUUAAAAUUGGAGAGUUGAAAUGAUUGAUCUCUAAGAUAUUUAGUACUAGUGUUAUAUAAUUUCAGCAUAGAAUUUUUCUCAAGUAUGUUCUAAUACAUGUGUCUCAGAAUUCCCUAAUUUGCACGUCACCUCACUCUACAGUUUUUCCCUUUGUCUAUGCAUUAUAUAGGCUAGACGAUCAUUUGUGGAAUAUUUUU
rnacentral:lncRNA from 1 species